UGAGCGCGGCCGGCGGCCCCAGGCAGGCGUCCCCCCCGACGACGGAAGGAGGGAAGCAGCUCGGGAGAGCCACUGUGCGCCCUGGUGGGGAGAGGCCGGCCUGCGGGUCGCCUUCCCGGAGGUCAGCGUGUCCACGCGGCAGACCUGAGAGAGGCACCGGGUGGGAACGAGUGGGCUCCGGAGGAGAGAAGAGCUAUUUUCAGUGAGUUGGCAGAGAGGUAAUCUUUGAGGGAGCCUCUUGGAAGGUGGCAUGGGCACCCAGAGAAGGAGGACCCAACACUGGACAGAAUCUGGUCCCGGAAUGUGAGAGGCGUCCUCCGCAGCAGAAGAGAGCCACCACACUGCCCACAGGACCAUGAACUGAGAAGUUAAUUCCAGAACCGAGGAUUGUGUGGGAAUGUGACGCUUACACCCACCGUACCAGCCCAGCUUUGGUGCAAGGCUGCAAUCUCCCCAGCCUUCCAUGGAAAGUCCACAUCUGAAGGCCUCUCCUGAGCAUCUGGGACUCAUUAGGCUCUGGGCUCUGGGUCUGAGUAGAGCUUAAUAAAG